rnacentral:lncRNA from 1 species
CUUCAAACCUUCCAAUCGCUUGUCAUGCCACUAUUUGGUCUUCGCCUUAUAGAUGGUCAAAUUUUCAUAAGCUUGCUGACGCCACUCUUCUAGUUCAUUUAGUUGCCACUGCCUCUGUCUACCUGCGCUAUCUAAAUCAAAGUUACAAGAUUUAAGUGCCCAUAACACUUUAUGUUCUAGCUCAAUAGGUAAAUGGCAACCUUUCCC